rnacentral:rRNA from 1 species
CGACUAAGCGUACACGGUGGAUGCCCUGGCAGUCAGAGGCGAUGAAGGACGUGCUAAUCUGCGAUAAGCGUCGGUGAGGUGAUAUGAACCGUUAUAACCGGCGAUUUCCGAAUGGGGAAACCCAGUGUGUUUCGACACACUAUCAUUAACUGAAUCCAUAGGUUAAUGAGGCGAACCGGGGGAACUGAAACAUCUAAGUACCCCGAGGAAAAGAAAUCAACCGAGAUUCCCCCAGUAGCGGCGAGCGAACGGGGAGGAGCCCAGAGCCUGAAUCAGUGUGUGUGUUAGUGGAAGCGUCUGGAAAGGCGCGCGAUACAGGGUGACAGCCCCGUACACAAAAAUGCACAUAUUGUGAGCUCGAUGAGUAGGGCGGGACACGUGGUAUCCUGUCUGAAUAUGGGGGGACCAUCCUCCAAGGCUAAAUACUCCUGACUGACCGAUAGUGAACCAGUACCGUGAGGGAAAGGCGAAAAGAACCCCGGCGAGGGGAGUGAAAAAGAACCUGAAACCGUGUACGUACAAGCAGUGGGAGCCUCUUUAUGGGGUGACUGCGUACCUUUUGUAUAAUGGGUCAGCGACUUAUAUUCUGUAGCAAGGUUAACCGAAUAGGGGAGCCGAAGGGAAACCGAGUCUUAACUGGGCGUUAAGUUGCAGGGUAUAGACCCGAAACCCGGUGAUCUAGCCAUGGGCAGGUUGAAGGUUGGGUAACACUAACUGGAGGACCGAACCGACUAAUGUUGAAAAAUUAGCGGAUGACUUGUGGCUGGGGGUGAAAGGCCAAUCAAACCGGGAGAUAGCUGGUUCUCCCCGAAAGCUAUUUAGGUAGCGCCUCGUGAAUUCAUCUCCGGGGGUAGAGCACUGUUUCGGCAAGGGGGUCAUCCCGACUUACCAACCCGAUGCAAACUGCGAAUACCGGAGAAUGUUAUCACGGGAGACACACGGCGGGUGCUAACGUCCGUCGUGAAGAGGGAAACAACCCAGACCGCCAGCUAAGGUCCCAAAGUCAUGGUUAAGUGGGAAACGAUGUGGGAAGGCCCAGACAGCCAGGAUGUUGGCUUAGAAGCAGCCAUCAUUUAAAGAAAGCGUAAUAGCUCACUGGUCGAGUCGGCCUGCGCGGAAGAUGUAACGGGGCUAAACCAUGCACCGAAGCUGCGGCAGCGACACUAUGUGUUGUUGGGUAGGGGAGCGUUCUGUAAGCCUGUGAAGGUGGCCUGUGAGGGUUGCUGGAGGUAUCAGAAGUGCGAAUGCUGACAUAAGUAACGAUAAAGCGGGUGAAAAGCCCGCUCGCCGGAAGACCAAGGGUUCCUGUCCAACGUUAAUCGGGGCAGGGUGAGUCGACCCCUAAGGCGAGGCCGAAAGGCGUAGUCGAUGGGAAACAGGUUAAUAUUCCUGUACUUGGUGUUACUGCGAAGGGGGGACGGAGAAGGCUAUGUUGGCCGGGCGACGGUUGUCCCGGUUUAAGCGUGUAGGCUGGUUUUCCAGGCAAAUCCGGAAAACCAAGGCUGAGGCGUGAUGACGAGGCACUACGGUGCUGAAGCGACAAAUGCCCUGCUUCCAGGAAAAGCCUCUAAGCAUCAGGUAACAUCAAAUCGUACCCCAAACCGACACAGGUGGUCAGGUAGAGAAUACCAAGGCGCUUGAGAGAACUCGGGUGAAGGAACUAGGCAAAAUGGUGCCGUAACUUCGGGAGAAGGCACGCUGAUAUGUAGGUGAAGCGACUUGCUCGUGGAGCUGAAAUCAGUCGAAGAUACCAGCUGGCUGCAACUGUUUAUUAAAAACACAGCACUGUGCAAACACGAAAGUGGACGUAUACGGUGUGACGCCUGCCCGGUGCCGGAAGGUUAAUUGAUGGGGUUAGCGGUAACGCGAAGCUCUUGAUCGAAGCCCCGGUAAACGGCGGCCGUAACUAUAACGGUCCUAAGGUAGCGAAAUUCCUUGUCGGGUAAGUUCCGACCUGCACGAAUGGCGUAAUGAUGGCCAGGCUGUCUCCACCCGAGACUCAGUGAAAUUGAACUCGCUGUGAAGAUGCAGUGUACCCGCGGCAAGACGGAAAGACCCCGUGAACCUUUACUAUAGCUUGACACUGAACAUUGAGCCUUGAUGUGUAGGAUAGGUGGGAGGCUUUGAAGUGUGGACGCCAGUCUGCAUGGAGCCGACCUUGAAAUACCACCCUUUAAUGUUUGAUGUUCUAACGUUGGCCCGUAAUCCGGGUUGCGGACAGUGUCUGGUGGGUAGUUUGACUGGGGCGGUCUCCUCCUAAAGAGUAACGGAGGAGCACGAAGGUUGGCUAAUCCUGGUCGGACAUCAGGAGGUUAGUGCAAUGGCAUAAGCCAGCUUGACUGCGAGCGUGACGGCGCGAGCAGGUGCGAAAGCAGGUCAUAGUGAUCCGGUGGUUCUGAAUGGAAGGGCCAUCGCUCAACGGAUAAAAGGUACUCCGGGGAUAACAGGCUGAUACCGCCCAAGAGUUCAUAUCGACGGCGGUGUUUGGCACCUCGAUGUCGGCUCAUCACAUCCUGGGGCUGAAGUAGGUCCCAAGGGUAUGGCUGUUCGCCAUUUAAAGUGGUACGCGAGCUGGGUUUAGAACGUCGUGAGACAGUUCGGUCCCUAUCUGCCGUGGGCGCUGGAGAACUGAGGGGGGCUGCUCCUAGUACGAGAGGACCGGAGUGGACGCAUCACUGGUGUUCGGGUUGUCAUGCCAAUGGCACUGCCCGGUAGCUAAAUGCGGAAGAGAUAAGUGCUGAAAGCAUCUAAGCACGAAACUUGCCCCGAGAUGAGUUCUCCCUGAGACUUAGAGUCUCCUGAAGGAACGUUGAAGACGACGACGUUGAUAGGCCGGGUGUGUAAGCGCAGCGAUGCGUUGAGCUAACCGGUACUAAUGAACCGUGAGGCUUAACCUUACAACGCCGAAG